rnacentral:rRNA from 1 species
AUUGAACGCUGGCGGCAGGCCUAACACAUGCAAGUCGAGCGGCAGCGGGAAAGUAGCUUGCUACUUUUGCCGGCGAGCGGCGGACGGGUGAGUAAUGCCUGGGGAUCUGCCCAGUCGAGGGGGAUAACAGUUGGAAACGACUGCUAAUACCGCAUACGCCCUACGGGGGAAAGGAGGGGACCUUCGGGCCUUUCGCGAUUGGAUGAACCCAGGUGGGAUUGGCUAGUUGGUGGGGUAAUGGCUCACCAAGGCGACGAUCCCUAGCUGGUCUGAGAGGAGGAGCAGCCACACUGGAACUGAGACACGGUCCAGACUCCUACGGGAGGCAGCAGUGGGGAGUAUUGCACAAUGGGGGAAACCCUGAUGCAGCCAUGCCGCGUGUGUGAAGAAGGCCUUCGGGUUGUAAAGCACUUUCAGCGAGGAGGAAAGGUUGUUGGCUAAUAUCCAGCAACUGUGACGUUACUCGCAGAAGAAGCACCGGCUAACUCCGUGCCAGCAGCCGCAGUAAUAC